UACGUAGGGUGCAAGCGUUAAUCGGAAUUACUGGGCGUAAAGCGUGCGCAGGCGGUUCCAUAAGACAGAUGGGAAAUCCCCCGGCUCAACCUGGGAACUGCAUUUGUGACCGUGGGGCUAGAGUACGGUAGAGGGGGAUGGAAUUCCGCGUGUAGCAGUGAAAUGCGUAGAUAUGCGGAGGAACACCAAUGGCGAAGGCAAUCCCCUGGACCUGUACUGACGCUCAUGCACGAAAGCGUGGGGAGCAAACAGG
rnacentral:rRNA from 1 species